UUGAAUUAAGAGCCUCUUUGUCGACCUCAGAAGAAUUAAAAUCGCCAUAAGUAUUACCCAUAAUCCCGUUCGCUCUAAGGGCAACCGUAGUUGAAGGUGCUACCUUCGAAUAGCUAAUCCCAGAAGGCACGACACAGCUGUCAAGGUGCCACCAUACUGAAACCUCAGGAAAAGAAGAAGAUGAUGAGAACUGACCCACUUGAAUUCUGGUAAAAACCUUGCGAGAAAGACAAGAAGGGAGAAAGGAGAGAUUCUUCAGAAAAAGAGGAAACAUUGUCGAGGGUGAUGGAAAGAGGAGAAAGGAAAAGAACGAUGUGCAACAGAUAGAUAGCUAUUCAACAACAAAGAAAGGGUGGAUUAGAUACAGUGGCGAAGAGAGAAGCAUACGGUUGUGAUAGGGUGGCAAAGUGACAAUACGGCGACGGCGAAGUUGCGAUUGGAAUGACAGAAGAAAGGUUGAAC
rnacentral:lncRNA from 1 species